GAUUAUCUAGUUAAAUAGAGUAAGUGCUAGGGAUACUAUUCCGCGAAUGACAUAACAUUCAGGCAAGUCUAAUAUUAAAUUUAACUAUCAAGAACUCAGUACCAUUUUCGAGCUUAUGAGUUCAAUGCUCUAAUAUAACCCUACUAUUUUAGCUUGUAUCACUGGCUUACAACAGGAUUCAGUAACUUUAUAAUUACUUCUUUAUAUUGAGCAGAACCGUAAUUCAGUUAGAUCAAAGCAUCCUAGACUUUUGUACAUACUGUCGGGAUUCGCUUUUACAUGUUGGAAAUUUGAAGAAGGUUAGGAGAGCACUAAAAUCUUUGAAGCUGACCUAAAUCAGUCUAUCUAGAAGUGUUUCAUUCCUCGUAAUAA